rnacentral:rRNA from 1 species
AAAUUGAAGAGUUUGAUCAUGGCUCAGAUUGAACGCUGGCGGCAGGCCUAACACAUGCAAGUCGAACGGUAACAGGAAGCAGCUUGCUGCUUCGCUGACGAGUGGCGGACGGGUGAGUAAUGUCUGGGAAACUGCCUGAUGGAGGGGGAUAACUACUGGAAACGGUAGCUAAUACCGCAUAACGUCGCAAGACCAAAGAGGGGGACCUUCGGGCCUCUUGCCAUCGGAUGUGCCCAGAUGGGAUUAGCUAGUAGGUGGGGUAACGGCUCACCUAGGCGACGAUCCCUAGCUGGUCUGAGAGGAUGACCAGCCACACUGGAACUGAGACACGGUCCAGACUCCUACGGGAGGCAGCAGUGGGGA